UGUUAUUCCUGAUCUCUUUCCUUGCAUCUCCUCCCUUGAGUUCUCUAUUGAAAAAGAAGACAAUUUGCAUUUAAGUAGUGAAGGUGGUGGAAGUUUAGUAAACAGGAGGAAGAGAUCCACACAAGAAGAAGAACAAGCUAAGGUGGGCCCGGAGUUUGAGCGCGCACAGUUUAGAUUAGUACGUAGAUUGAGUUAGUAUUUCUAGUUUAGAUUCUGCUGUUAAACUUUUGAUGUUAGAUUUUGUUGUUGAUUUUUUGUUGGUGCUUGGACA